rnacentral:rRNA from 1 species
CAGCAGCCACGGGAAUACGAAGGGGGCUAGCGUUGCUCGGAAUGACUGGGCGUAAAGGGCGCGUAGGCGGCGAUCAAAGUCAGGCGUGAAAUUCCUGGGCUCAACCUGGGGGCUGCGUUUGAUACUUGAUUGCUAGAGUGGGGAAGAGGGUCGUGGAAUUCCCAGUGUAGAGGUGAAAUUCGUAGAUAUUGGGAAGAACACCGGUGGCGAAGGCGGCGACCUGGUCCUUGACUGACGCUGAGGCGCGAAAGCGUGGGGAGCAAACAGGAUUAGAUACCCGCGUAGUCCCUGUCUCUUAUAC